rnacentral:rRNA from 1 species
UACAGAGGGGGCAAGCGUUGUUCGGAAUUACUGGGCGUAAAGGGCGCGUAGGCGGCCUGCUAAGUCGAACGUGAAAUCCCCGGGCUUAACCCGGGAACUGCGUCCGAUACUGGCUGGGCUUGAAUCCGGGAGAGGGAUGUGGAAUUCCAGGUGUAGCGGUGAAAUGCGUAGAUAUCUGGAGGAACACCGGUGGCGAAGGCGACAUCCUGGACCGGUAUUGACGCUGAGGCGCGAAAGCUAGGGGAGCAAACGGG